UAAUAAACUGCUAAAGCUUGGAAGCAUUGCCUAUGAUUGGAUUACUGUGAAGGUGGGUAAUGGAAGAGAAGUCAGAUUUUGGACAGAUAAUUGGUCACCCGUUGGGAGUAUCCAGAAAUUCUUGGCCCCUGUUGCAGCGAACUCGAUGGGAAUCCCCUCAUCAGCUACACUCCAUGAUAUGUUUGUCAGGGAUCGAUGGAAUAUAAGACCCGCCCGCUCUGAUCGCCAAGUUCAAAUUCAAGCAAUUUUAUCUUCGGUUACUCUGUCUCAGCUUCCUGAUGAAUAUGAGUGGACAAUAGAAGGUAAAGUUUGGCUUAAAUAUCAGACUGGAACAAUCUAUAAACUCCUGAAAAAUCAUGCGCAAACGGUACCUUGGAAAGGAGCUAUAUGGAAUUCAGGUGGUGUGCCCCGGCAUAGCUUCCACGCCUGGCUCGUCACCCUAAACAGACUACCGACCCGAGACAGACUUCUCUCUUGGGGACUUGCUGUUCCUGCAACUUGUCUACUCUGCAACCAAGGAGAUGAAUCAAGGGACCACUUGUUCUUCUCUUGUACCUUCUCCUCUGAACUUUGGAUCCAUCAUGCUCGACGGACUGAGACAACCCCAUCUACUGGUUGGAACGAUUCUCUUAAUCACAUGCAAUCACUACCAGGACCUCCUUGGCGCAGGAAGCUUCAACUGAUUGUAUGGCAAGCUGUGAUCUACUCUAUUUGGCAAGAAAGGAACGCUCGACUUCACUGCAACACUGCAAAAACCAUCAAUACCAUCUCUUCCAUACUGGACAGAACGAUUCGAAAUAAGAUCCAUGGCUUCAGAGACUCAAACCCAAUCGGAGCUUCUCAGAUGAUUCAGUUCUGGUUUGCAACUGCUCCAUCACCAUAUCCUCCAAACCCUCAUCUCCCAUUCCUGCAAUCAACUGACUAAGUCAUCACUUCCGAUCCGUUACUCUUUUCCUGGCCAUCUGGGCUUCUACUAUCUCCUCUCUCAUUCAUUGGUCUUUUCUCUGAUGUGGGCUUCGGUCAUUUUUUGUAAUAGGGCGCAACCCAAAAACUAAGGCCUUAUGGCUUGUUUUCUUUUUUUCUCAUGCUUUUAAUAGAAGAAAAUCUUCAAAAAAAAAAAAAAAAAAAAGAUAAAUCAAUCCAAAUAGAACUAUUUAUGGUUCGAGUACAAUUUUUCAUGAACCAACCAUAAAAAACAGAAGAAUAAAAUACUAACUCUAAUGAGAAAACGAGAUAUGGAAAUACCCCCAGGUUAAAAAAAAAAACAAAAAACAACAAGAUAUGGAAAUGGGAUAAUGCAAGAAAUAUACGUGCCGACUACAAAGAAACUACAGUAAAAAUCUGAAUUGAUUACUUGAAUAUAACUCUUACUUGCAUGGGUUCGUGUCUCUUGAUGCUUCAUAUUACGACGUAAAUUUUUAAGAAAAACAAAUAUUACGAUACAAAAAUGUGAAAAUAAGUUUUGAGUUGCAAGCUACGCCAUAAACGCAUAGACCAUAGCUUUCUGGCUAAGUGUUGGGCUUGUUAGCAAGACAAUGGAACUUUCUCCCUAUAUUGAUUUAUUCAAAAAUCGUUACAAAAUUUUCAAUGAAAAUGUUAAAGUGACCAAGCUACUAAGAUUCAACCACGGAAUAUGCUAGUUGCCUAGUUAACGCUUUCGAUUCCUUCACGGUUAUAUUGAAUCUCAGACAAUCUUCGUAUAGAAAAAAUGACGACAUAUACUGAGAAAUUUAGAUAUAUUACUAAUUAAAAACGGGAAAUAAAACAUAAACCUAGCUUUAACUCGGCUUCAAUUUUAUUAUUUGUUUCUUUAUUUCUUUAUUUUUUUGUUUGUAUAUCCCUUUUAUUUUAGAUUUCUUCUUUGUCUUAAAUUUUGUUGAGUACUAUUUUAUUGUAGCGUGGUAAAUCUGAUUAGCAAAAAAACACAAGGUUUUUAUUCUAUAUAUAUAUAUAUAUAUAUAAUACUGGAAAAUGAGAUUUUUUUUUUGAAAAUGAGAUUUUCAAGUAGUAUUAUACUGUAUAUAUAUUAUAUGUGGGGGUCAAAAUAAUGUUGUUCCAACAAGAUUAAAACCAAAUUAUUAAGACGUCUCAGACUACAUUUCUUGUAAGAAAACAAUCAAAUUAUUCAUGUCUCCUAUAAUUAUUGUACUUCCAUCUCUCAAAAGGGAAAGUAUUCUUAUAUGCCCCAAUUGGAAAAAAAUUAUUCUCACUGCCCCACUAUUUUUUUCAUUACCCCACUAUUUUUCUCUUUCUCUUAUUACCCUUUCUUUUUAUAUUAGUUUUUAUUUAUUCAGCGGACCCCAAAUCUCUCUCUCUUACUCGCGGACCCCACUUCCCUCUCUCUUCCUCACCCAUUUUGUUUCAUUAUUUUAAUGUUAUACGGACUCCACGUCUCUCUUGUCCAUCUCAGUUUGUUUCAUUAUUUUAAUCUCAGGUGGGGACCCUUUUCUCAUAAAGCUGAUACAUUAACCAAAAUCAUAGGAUUUCCACUCUCAGAUGCUUUCUCUCCUCUUAACACGUGUCUAUCCUUUUUUUAUUCUCCAACAAUAUUCGACAUUUUUUUUUGAGCUCCAUUUGGUGAUUUCAAAAGUGAUUAUUAAAGUAAUUUGGUACGCUUUUUUCAUAAAUUUUUUUUGUAGGAAUGUAAUAUCUACGUUGUAUGUAUUAAGGGUAACAAAUCGUGGAGUUUUAAAGAAGUAUUAGAUCUUGACCCGUGCGUCCGCACGAGUAUUUACUUUUAAUUUUUGUAAACGUUCGAAAAUUAAAUACAUAUACUAUUGUACUAAUUAAAUUAGAAGAAGCUAAUUAAUUAAAUAUAACUGAGUUAGUUUUAUUAUUCUGAACAUUAAAACGAUUUUGAUUAAUUUAAUUUUCAAUAAACCAAUAAAUUAAUCUGAUAAUUUAAUAUAUUUCAUAGUUUUUCUUUUAUGGAUUGAAACAUUGACUUUUGAAUUUUUAAGUAAAUGAAAGAUUGCAUAUCUUUUAAAUUUAUUAGGUACCUAAAUAUUAGGCAAUUUCGUAGCCAUGUUUAUGAAAAUUGUUAUCUAUAAAGUUAGUGGCAUUGGAUGGUAAUUGUUGAGGAAAACUUAGGGUUAAGAUUUAUUUGUACUUCAGCUUUAAUAGAUUAGAUGUAAAUAAAAUUUAAAGAAGAUUAUGUAUAUUUCUUUAUCAAAAUCAGUGCCGUGCUUAGCUUUCUUGGGGCCUAAGGCAAAACUCAAUGUAAAAAAAUUAUUAAAUGUAAAAUUUAUUAUAAAAAUAAUUUUAAUGGAUAAAAUACUUAAUAAUAAAAAAUAUAAUAUAUAUUUUUAUAAAUUUAUUUAUAUAGCAUUAAAAUUGGUGAUAGAAACAUAUUAAAAAUAAGAAAUUAAUUAUAUAGCAGAAAGGAAAAAUAUGUCCAUAUAUAUUCAUUUUAUGAUAAUCAAAAUGUAUUAAGAGUAAGUGUGAAAUUGUACAAUAAAACAAAAAUAGCUAAAUAAAAUGAAGCUAGAUGAGAUGUACAUUUAGAAUCUAAAAUCCCAUAGAAGAAAACAAUUUUUGUUAUAAAUAUGUAAUAGUCGAAUAUAAUGGCUAAAUCAAAACAAAUGUAAAAAUUGGGGGCCUUUAAACUUGUGUUAGAACUGGGGACCUAAGGCAACCGUCUUUUUCGUAAGCUAGUAAGCACGGCUCUGGAGAAAAUUAAAGAAUAUGAACACCGUCAAGAGUGAGUUGUGUGUUGUUUUCAGUGAUUCUAAUCGUUUUCCCAAUGUGUUUGACUAAACAGAAAAAAGCAAAUGAUAGGAACUUGACCAAGUAAAGUUUGAUCCAAAUAGACUGGGUGCAAAAAUGUGGGGUACCCGUUUAGUUAUCUCAUAUAUAUUUUACAAGGUAUAUAUCUUUAGCAUUGGUGACAUAAUUGAGGCCUCAGGGAUAUGGUUCGGUAUGUUGUUUCCAGCUUUUUUAUUGAGGGGGGUUCCACUUUUCCUUUUAAAAAUUUAUAUAUUUCUUUUUGUAUUCUUCUAAUAUUUACAUUCAGAUCAUUUUAAAACGUAAAAGUUGGAAUGUUUUCUCGUCACAGCGGUGAUAUGCAUAGUGGUUUUAAUCAUAAAAUCGACAGUGAUCAUUUGUUAAAGCAUAUUAUGGUGGUUGGUUACCACUUACCUUGGUGGUUUUGUCAUGAAUAAUGAAUUCUCUUAGAUCUUCAAUUUCCGAAAUAUUUUUUGUCUUCCACAUGAUUUAUGAUAAUAAAACAUAGAAAAGAAAAAUGGAUGAUUAUCAAGUUAAGUAAUUAAUAGAUUCAGUUUUUUUUAGCUCGGAUUGAACUCAUGUUCGUGGACAUACAAAUGUAUUUUACCGAUAUUAAAUUUCAGUUUCCAAAUCACUUUUUUGUUAGAUUAUAGACGGAUUGUUCUUUGGUCUAAUUUUUCUAAAUUAAAGUGACUGGGUGUGAAGUAAAUAAUCUUAGAUACUCAAGUCAUAAUAAUUGAAGAAAAAUGUCUUGCUGUCAAAAAAAAAAAAAAA